AAAACUAUAGAUUUAGUGAAGCAAAUCCCUAACAAGUUUUUAUCUCCAAGCAGAAGAUGUAGCCAUAGCUCUGUUCUUCCAUCCAAGAUAUAGAGCGCCAUUGCUCUCCGCGAUACUGUAAUUGCGGCUAUACUCAUUUAACAUGUCCCUAAUGGCGGUGCUUACCGAUUGACUCAAUGGGAUUGGAGAAAAUCCGGCCAUCAUGAGUCUCAACCUCCAUUUUCCAAAAAGCUCGUGCCUUUCCACCCUCUCGGUAUCCUCACAUGCUAUUAUGUUGACAACAUCCCUUGCCACACAGUGUUCCUCGGCAUUAAUCCGCUGCUUGUCUUCCCUUGGUCGAGCUUCAUCAAUUGACUCAAACAUUGCUGUGUAAUAAUUUAGAGUUUCACAAAAUCGGGGAAAGAACGGGGCAGUGUUAGUGUUGGAUUCUUGCUCAACAAGGGUUACAACCUUGGGCGACAAGCUCUUAACUAGUCUAAGCAAGCGGUCUCGAUGAUUCAUAGUACUCACGCUCUCGUCUGGCAUGUGGUGCAGCAUAUAAGGAAAAUUUACGGCCAAGGCUUCUCCAUGUCGUAUCUGAAGAUUUUCUAGCUGGACUUCACAUCCUGACAUACCAGCGGCAUGGAAUUCAAA
rnacentral:lncRNA from 1 species